rnacentral:tRNA from 1 species
UGCGUUAUAGCCAAGUUGGUAAGGCAUCGGGUUUUGGUCCCGACAUUCGUUGGUUCGAGUCCAGCUAACGCAG